rnacentral:rRNA from 1 species
GAUGAACGCCGGCGGCGUGCCUAAUACAUGCAAGUCGAGCGAACAGACGAGGAGCUUGCUCCUUUGACGUUAGCGGCGGACGGGUGAGUAACACGUGGAUAACCUACCUAUAAGACUGGGAUAACUUCGGGAAACCGGAGCUAAUACCGGAUAACAUGUUGAACCGCAUGGUUCAACAGUGAAAGACGGUUUUGCUGUCACUUAUAGAUGGAUCCGCGCCGCAUUAGCUAGUUGGUAAGGUAACGGCUUACCAAGGCAACGAUGCGUAGCCGACCUGAGAGGGUGAUCGGCCACACUGGAACUGAGACACGGUCCAGACUCCUACGGGAGGCAGCAGUAGGGAAUCUUCCGCAAUGGGCGAAAGCCUGACGGAGCAACGCCGCGUGAGUGAAGAAGGUCUUCGGAUCGUAAAACUCUGUUAUUAGGGAAGAACAAAUGUGUAAGUAACUAUGCACGUCUUGACGGUACCUAAUCAGAAAGCCACGGCUAACUACGUG